rnacentral:ncRNA from 1 species
AAUCGGGGUGCUGGCAGAAGCCGGCUGAGAUGAAGAUGCUUCUUCGAACCUUUGACCUGAUCCGGAUAAUGCCGGCGUAGGUAGAUAGAAA